ACCUGGCGGCGCGGUCAGGCGGGGAGCAAGCGAGCUGCUAUUGGCAGCACGCGGCGUGACCUCACUUCCGGCGGCAGCGGAGCCGGCGGUGGGGUGGCGGCAGGCGCGGCCCGUGGCACGGCGAGACCCGGAUUCGCACCUGCCGGUAUGGCCUCGCUGCUCAAGGUGGACCCGGAGGUGAAGCUCAAGGUUGACUCCUUCAGAGAGCGGAUCACAAGCGAGGCUGAAGAUCUAGUGGCAAACUUUUUCCCAAAGAAGCUGUUAGAACUCGAUGGGUUCCUGAAAGAGCCUAUCCUGAAUAUUCACGAUCUCACUCAGAUCCAUUCAGACAUGAAUCUCCCAGUGCCUGACCCAAUUCUUCUCACAAACAGCCAUGAUGGACUGGACGGGCCAAAUAUGAAAAAGAGGAAGCUGGAAGACCGUGAAGAGACCUUUCAGGGUACCAAAGUGUUUGUGAUGCCCAAUGGGAUGCUGAAGAGCAACCAGCAGCUGGUGGACAUCAUUGAGAAAGUGAAACCAGAGAUCAGGCUGCUUAUUGAGAAGUGUAAUACGGUCAAAAUGUGGGUGCAACUUCUAAUUCCCAGGAUAGAAGAUGGAAACAACUUUGGUGUUUCUAUUCAGGAGGAAACAGUCGCUGAGCUUCGAACUGUGGAGAGUGAGGCAGCAUCCUAUCUGGACCAGAUUUCUAGGUAUUAUAUCACAAGAGCCAAGUUGGUGUCCAAAAUAGCUAAGUACCCUCAUGUGGAGGACUACCGCCGCACAGUGACAGAGAUUGACGAGAAGGAGUACAUCAGUCUGCGCCUGAUCAUUUCAGAGCUGAGGAAUCAGUAUGUCACUUUGCAUGACAUGAUCCUUAAAAACAUUGAGAAGAUCAAGAGGCCUCGGAGCAGCAAUGCUGAGACCCUUUAUUAAGUGUCAACGUUUGAACUUGAGAACUGUUCAGUCAACUAAAGACCGUCAUUGCCUUGAGCCAUGUUGUCUCUUGCUGGUUUCCUAGGGAUUUCCCCGGAGUGUGGAGGGCCGCCAGCCCUUUCUAUAGACUCUUCUGUUGUUGUUUGUAGUGAGUCAACCUUAGUCUUCCCACUAAUAAAUAUUCUGUAACAAACCAACUGCGUUGUAGCUGCUAUCUGGGAGCAGCACUCCCCCUUGUGUUUCUUUGUAUUGAUUUAUUUUAAUUUGUUGAGCUCUCUUUGCCAGAUGAAACUAUGUAAACUUUUACCAUAUCAGGAAAUUAAAAUAAGGUACUUUGAAUUCUUUUAAGCUAGCCCCUUGUCUGUGAUACUGAGCUCUUAGAAUCGCUCUGCAGUGUUGGUGUCUGCUCUUGGCCGUGCCUUUCACACAUCCAGUGGUUCCUUCCAUAUGUUCUCCUCAUUCUUCUUUUUGACUGUUGGUACUGCUAUGUGUGUGCUGCUUUGAAGAUUGUUUCUGCUCCUUCAGCAUGCCUUAUAUUAGGCCCAGGGGCUUGAGUUUGAUGAGAUCUGCCCUGUUCUUGUCCUUUGUGUUGGACUCAGGCUGUCUUGGGUCCAGGUAUAACUGGACAGGUACAAGUCAUUUGCAUGAUGGUGUUCUAAGAGCUGCAACUCACUUCACAGCUGCCCCUGCAUCUGUGCAGAGCAGAUGUCUGCAGUGUUGUAGGACAGGCAUCUGAGUAUCAUACCUGACAAGUGUAUUCAGAGGAUGGUCUGUUAUUCUCUUGAUUUUACUGUGCGUGCAGUACAAAGGAGACAUGGGCCAAAGCAUCCUCAGCGUUUCUCAGAGGCAUGCUUUUGUUCUCGUUCCUGUUCCUCAGCACGUGUGGCAUACAGCCUGGGCUGCAGGGACCUGCUCUGCAGUGUUCAGCCAAGUGGCAUUCAUUCCCCAGCUUCCUGUCUGUGAGCUGCUGAAGUCCAGCCUGUUCUGCUUUGUGAUAGGGAGGCUGUGUCCCUCACAGCUUGGUUGCCACUAGGUGGGGGCUGUGAUCCAGCCUGAGGAGCGUUGGGAGGCUGGGUGAGACCUGGCCUCCUGGCCGACCUGUCUGCAAAGUCUUCAGCCUCCAAGACGAAGCAUAAGCAGCAGCUUGUAGACAGCUGUAUUCUGCCUCCUGCUGGGCCACUGUGCUUCCUGUGGAGUGGAAAAGUCCUGGUGCCCACACUUCUUGGUGAAGAUGGGUAAGGAACUGACAGCACAGGUCCCUGGGGCUGAGGAGGCAGGAGCUACUGCUGAAAAGAUUACUGUUGGCAUUGCUCAAUGCCGUAUGGCAGAAGAGGUCCACCUUGAUACGGCCAGGAGAAAAGGAGCCCACAGCAGCCCUGUGCCAGCAGUCCCGUGGAAGGAUGAAAUGUCCAGCACUGCUGUGCUGACAGGUGUUGGUGAGAAGCACGUUUCAUGCAGAGGAGCAGGGGAAGGUUUAUUGUCUGGGAUCCUCACCCCUUGGUGCGGUGGUUUCUGCUCUUCCUUCCCAGAGAAGCGGCAGUGUGCUGUCAGGACUCUAACUCACAGCUUCUUGAGACAUCCCAGCUUGCAUUUGCAGUGGAGAUUAGAACUUUGAAAUAAGAAUAAGUGCACAGCAGUUGUUCAGACAAAAACGCUAGCCAGCAUGAGUAAGUGUCAAGCAAUUUCCAGCAGUCUGUUUUACACAAGCUGACUGUGAAAGGUGAGAGAGUGGGAGGUUGAGUCUGAAGUUUGACUUGGGAUCUGCUUGGGAUGUACCCGUGUCAGGAAAACUGGCAAGAAUUUGUGUGUGCUCAGUAUACUCUUUACCCAGCUGCUUGGCAGUCACUGACUCAAAAGGCUGCCUGUCUGCUUUGGUUCCUAUAAAUUUGAGGGACUAUUUUUGCCAGCUCUACCUUUCUAUGUGAGCAAAGCACAGCAAACUCCCAGCUACUGUGCUUUGUUUGGAAAAUACUGGCACUUUACUUGACGUGUUGCACUGACAAGCAGUGCCUAAAAGCAACCACAUGGUCAAAAUAAACUGGUAUGAUGUGAAUUCUCCAUGUUAGGUAGGGAAGAGUCAUGGGCUAAUUAGACUGGGGAAAUGAGCUGUGGACAGUUGGGUUUGUUUUUUUUUUUUUUGUACCACGCAGCUCAUAAACAAGUCAUGCUGCUAUUAGUGAGAUGUGUCAUCUUCGAAAUUCUAGGCUAGCUUUAAGUUGCUUCAGGGUCCUUUUGGAGAAGAUGCUGUUCCUGUGGUAUGUGUUAUACUUAAGAGUCCCUCAACAUUUUUUAUCACUUGCAUGUUGGUAAGGGUUUCUCAUCUCUUCAGACUCAAAUAAUUGCCCUGCUUCCUGAAAUGUCUGCUGAAGGAUAGCAAUGGGUUUAGUUCUUGUAUUUGUUCUGGAACAGAACUCCCAGAAAAUAGAGGCUGAUUCUUGUUACAAACUGUAAAAGUCUUCAGCUUGAAAGGUACAGCAGAAAUGGGCAUCAUUAAAUGACACAUGAUAUUAGGCAUGACAGCCUUGGCACGUACCCUGCAGCAGGACAGAGGCAGCACAGAGAUCAGUUAGUGCCAACUAAUUGAGCAGACCCAGGGUGUGUGCUGUGGAUUUGUUCAUCAUGUGGACAUCAUUUGACUGGGGCUUCUGUUGUUUUGUUGCAUUCCAAAUCCCCAGCGUGCACAGAAGUGUUCCCACACUUUAUUUUCAGACAUCUGACAGACAAGCUGCAGGGUUGAGUUGUCAUUUGUGGGGCAGUGUAAGGCCUGUGAAGUUUAUCCAGUUCUCUUAAAUUACUGCUGCUUAAAAAAUGACAAUCUAAUUGCAGCUUGUGCUUUGGCUUUUAGGGACGUGAGAUGCAGCACCAGUAGGCAAAGUUGAAACUAAAUUAUCUGCUAUUUUUGCUACAGGGAAAUGUAAAGGUAGAUGUGGUUUGUGCAGCAGGCUCAGCCCAGCUGUGCAGAGGUGUGCUGCAGCAGAGGCCAGUUAAAUUCCUGGAGGCAGGAGGUAGGUCUUGACUCUGUUCCCAACCUUCAACAGUACAAAAGCACUUCCUCUCUGCACUCUAAGUGCAAUGGAGUACUGUGUUCUAGGCUUUACACCAAAAGGGACUUUCUCCUUGGGACCCAACGCAAAGUAACCCUUAAAGCCUUGUUGACUUCAUAGCUGGAAUGCUAUCUUGGAAUUCAUUACUACUUUUACUUAAUCUAGGGCUAUUCAGGCAUCUGAUUCUGCUGUCAGAGAUCAGUGGAAAGCUGAUGGGACAGGGUACCUCUAAAACCUGUAGAUAUUACAGCCUGUAUUGCCAAAGCUCUUUUAUCAUAGGUCCUGUCUCUUCCCACUACUUGCAUCUUUGUCACAGGGUUCUCCUCUUCUGGUCAGCAGCUACAUGAGAUGACUACUGUGGCUUUACUGGUGCAACAGGCAGUGAGCAGAAGGGACUCCUGCUUGCAUGAAGCGACUCUGCCUGCAUGGCUGCCGCUGAGGUUAAAGAAGGUUGACAGCUGUCCACUGUGGUGAAGAUAAUGUAGGGUGUCCUAAAACCAUCUAGCUGCCUGCCUGCCAGUGCGAUGUCUGGUAACUGUGGCUUAGGAAAGGCUGAGUCUAGGGCAAGACCCGGAGCAGAGGAAGAAGAUUAAAUGGUGCUGCAGGCUGGGAUAGCCUGCCACUGGGAAACUCUGGAGGAAAAAGGGAAGGCCAGGGUGAGGUGAGGUGAGGCUGGCAGCAGGAAUGGAAAUGCUGGGUUCAACCUCCAGCUGUUGUUCUCUUGGAUUGCUUGUAUUUCUCAGCACCAGCUCAGGGACAGGCAGGGACUGCAACUGAAGCAGUGUGUCUUGUCUGUCUCUGGUGUUUGCUGUGUGGCAGCAAAGAACCCCCCGUCCUGCUCGGUGAUGCUGUGAGAACAGCAGAGACUUUGGGUGGCAAUGGCUGAGGGAGCUGUCACAGCCUUUGGGAGACACAGUGGAGGUGGCUGCUCAGCCUGUGCAGUGGGACAGCAGGGGGCUGCUGGCGCUGCCUGUGUGGAUGCCACAGAUCAAAGGCUGUCCUUGAGGGAACUUCUCUGAAGCUGCACCGCAGUUUACCUUAGAAUUUGAGGCAGAGGCAAAACUUACUUGAACUUGUUCCAGUGGAAUGAUGGGGAUUAAUUAGUUAAUGAAUACUCAGAGAUGCAAACUAAGAGCUAGUUGUUCAUGCUGCACCGGGGCCAGUAUAUCGUCCUAAACUCCAGCUCUCUAUGCCUGCCAAAGUUUUUUU